UCCCCACCCGGAGGAAGUGGGGGAGCCCAGGCCGCCGUGUCCCCUCAGCGCCCCGGCUGAGGUGGCCGCGGUCCCGCGGCAGCGAGCCCGUGUCCUCUCCACAGCCCGGGGAGUGCUCCCGUAUCGCUCAGAAUACUCCGGGUUGAGCCCCUUCCCCCCCCAAAGAAAGACCACCCCAGGAUGAACCCCGUACUAAGCCACAUAACCUAGAGAUGUCCCGGCAUGAACCCCAUGCAACCUCCGAGACACCCCAGAAUGAGCCCUGUACCACUCCAGACAGCGCAGGAUGAGCCACAGACCUUGAAGAUGUCCCAGGAUAAGUCCCAGACCCUGACGAUGUCACAGGACGAACCCCAUACACUAACCCAGACAUCCCAGGAUGAGCCCUAAACCACUUAAGUUGUCCUAGGCUGAGUCAUAUACCCACCAGGAUUUUGCAAGAUGAGCCUCAGACCUUAAAAAUGCCCAGAAUGCACACAGUAAGACAUCCCAGCAAGACAUCCCAGGAUGAGACCCAUACCCACUUCAAAGCAUCUCAAGGGCCAACGAUCCCCUCAGGAGAGCACCAGGAGAAGCUGGGCGGGGCAGAUAAGACACCCUGGACUUCCAUCAGCUCUGGAUUAAGGGAGAACAUCCAGAUGCAGCUGUCUCCUGUUAUGAAGCAGCAAAACCCAACAGAGAUCUUCAACCUUCCACACUAGAACUUUGUCUAGUAUAUGUUUGCAGCCAGGUCACACUUCCAUCCUUCAUCCACCCUGGCUCCCAGGCAAGGAGCAAACAGAAAACAGAACACGGCUUAUCCUUAUCUGAAGGACUUGGCAGUGUCCUCCCCAGUUCCUGUUAUCAAUGAGCAGCUGCUAAUUCCCUCCUGCCUGAAAUUCUCUCUAGGCUUUGUAACAACAAGGUCUGUUCUUUCAGUGGCAGGUGAGACACCACACUGGAAUCCCCCCAGAUUGUCUCAGUGAGUUUGUAACAAGGGGCUUACUCCAUGGAGAACCUGCCAGUGGCACUCUUUCAAAGAGGAUGGUGUCCUGGAGUGACAGAUGGCUAGGAAUGAACAUGGCUGUCCCAGAAAACUCCCUAAGGAUAAAGCACGAGGAGCAUACAUAUCCUUUAAGAUGAGCAGGAGAGGCAGCAGGAGAUACACCUGCCAGAAGGACUGGGAGGUCCUGCCAGCUGGACUUUGCACUCUGAAGCAGAAGAAACUGAGCUACCUUGAUGAGCAGUGUAGAUAAAUCCCACCCAAGCCCUCACA